UACAGAGGGUGCUAGCGUUGUUCGGAAUCAUUGGGCGUCAAGCGCACGUAGGCGGCUUAGCAAGUCGGAAGUGAAAUCCCACGGCUCAACCAUGGAAGUGCUUUCGAAACUGCUGAGCUUGAGUACAAAAGAGGAUCGCGGAAUUCCCGGUGUAGAGGUGAAAUUCGUAGAUAUCGGGAGGAACACCAGUGGCGAAGGCGGCGAUCUGGGUUGAUACUGACGCUGAGGUGCGAAAGCGUGGGGAGCAAACAGG
rnacentral:rRNA from 1 species